GGCUCAUUAGUUGAUGAAUGAUCUAUAUUUAGGACAAACAUAAUUUUCUAUUAAGUGCCAGGAACUCACUUACCCAAUACAUCUUUUCUUUAACAGUUCUCAGGUUUCUGGAAAAACUGCAUGGCACUUCUCAUUGCAUUAGUUGGUUCUGAUGGUGAUGCUAGCAUUGGGCCUCUGCGCAGCUAUUACAUGGCAAAAAGAAUUGAUUUCACUGGGCGUCCGAGUGAUGCUCCACUGCACAUCAUCAGAAGAAGACGUAGGUCUACUCCUCACCUCCUCUCUGUUUCUCCCUAGUUUGGGGUUAUAUCAAGAAAAGAGAAGUCUGUGUAUUGCUGAAAACAGACACCCGGAUUUACCUGGCAAUUCCAUGUUUAGAGAACAUUCAAUAGAAGAAAUUUACUGGUCCUCACUUUAACUAUUUGAUAAAUGGAAAGAAAAAUUAUAGACCAAUCUUAUAUGGGUAUCCCGUAAUUUUAUAGCUCUUAGAAUUGCCAAGUAUUAUUUGUAGAUAUUAUUAAGCAAGAAUAGUGUUUGUGCGUAAUAAAAUCUCUGCGGAAGUGUUCCCAGCUGUUUUCCUGUCACUUUCAAAAUUUUGCUGCACUUGGUCAUCUGUGGAUUGCAUGGAUGGAUUUUUUUUUCCCAGAACAUGAACAUUUUCUUCAGUAAUAUUUGAAAGCCUUGCUGACAAACACGUGUUGCUAUUUGUAGGCUCUAAAUUGUAGUGGGGAGGAGGAAAGCACUAGACUGUGCAUUCAUUGGGAAAGUUGUCAAUUAUUUAAGUGGAAGGAGGGCUAGUCCUGGGUGUUUCUGUUUACACAAUUGCAGGGAGAGGUCUUUGUCUCAGGAAAUACUAAACUAUUAUAAGAUGCUAAUAGGGUGUGCUUACGAGAACACGGCUGAGAGCAAGCAGCAACAUGCCUGGGUUUUGUAGUGCCAAUAAAGCACGUAACUGUGCAUUGCAGAUGGCUUUCGCUGUGAAACUCUUUUCACAGUGCUGCUCACUUUGACUUCAGCAUGAAUUCUGGCUCCCCUGGUUUGCUUCCCCUAGCCUUCCCACCUGGAGCAUCUUAUGACUGUUUUGCUUUCUCUUUUUAAUAAUAUCAUUAAAAAAAGGGGGUAGGAAACUUAAGGAAACUUAAAAAUAUGACCACGCUGCAACCUAUGUAUUCAAAUUCCAGCAAUCAAAAAAAAAAAAAAAAAAAAGUCCAAAAUCUUUCCUUUUAAAAAUGUAAUAAAUUUGUGGGUAUCUCAGCAUAAUUCACUUUGUCAACCCUGAACAUGAAAACAAAAAAAAAACCCUUUUAUCAGCUCUUAAAAUCAAUUGACAUAUCUGAGCUCCUCGCUGGAGGCAAUUAAUAAAAGUAGAUUCAUUCAUGUUGGGCAUUUGGGUACGGAAGGUUUUUGGCGAUUAUAAGCCUCAAACUGUUUUAUUACAUAUUUAACCUUGAACUUUAAAUUGUUUGUUUCCUGAGAGUCAAAAUAUAAGGGUACAAAUUUUCAGAUGGGGAGUCUUGGUAUAUUGACCUUAUUUUAAACUGUUAAUAAUAUUUAAAUAAAAAGAAGUGAAAAAAGUUUCACAAGUAAUGUGUGCAAAUAAGUGAAGAGAGGGAUGGAAGAGACAUGAGUUCACCGAAAUAUAACCCCAAGACUUUUUCUUAAAGUAUGAAUUACAUAACCAUUUCUUUUGUGUUCAAUUAUACUUUUUCAUGCAAAAAUAUGGAUUUUUUAAAAGAUGCAGUGGGUGACUCAUUUUUUGAACAGUUUUACGCUAAUAGAAAGUGGAAGUUAGAAAGCUUUUGUAGAAGAAUAUUGAAGGAAAAAGCCAGACAGUGCAAUACUUGAAUUGUUUGUUCCUGUUUCUGAGUCUUCUGUCUCUAGACCCCAGUUGCACCAAUAUUUCCUCUAGGAAGUAGGAGACAUAAUGAAUGUGUGUGUUUUUUCCAAAAAUGAGUUUAUUAAAAGAAAAAGGUCAGUAGGGCUCCUUGCAAUUUGCAGGCCUGAUAUGCACGAGGCAAUGUUUUGCCAAGCACUUACAAAUACUAUUGACUUCCCCUAAAAUUCAGAAAUUGUGAGAUGAAUGUAUUGAUUUGAUUUAUCUAGUUUAAAGUAAAGAAAUGCACUAGGGAGAGAAAUGAAUAAUCUGAAAAUAUGUUUUAGAGAUUAACAUAGUGAAAUUCUCUUGUAAAGAUCAAAUAGGGCCAUAAGCACCCUCUGGUUUUGAUUGCUGAAUCGGAGUGAUCGAUGCAGCAAGGCCAUAUCAGACCAUUAAACGUCUCUUGUUCCAUGAGCCAUUGCUAAAUGCUUCGGAGCAAGGUGCAAGAUAUUCUGUAGAUAAUAAGAGUGGAAUAUGCUGCCCAGAGAAUAUUAAUCUUCCUAGCCUUCUUUUAUAGCUUGCAUCAUGAAGAUUUAUAUCCUUUUAAAACAAACAACAAAAUCCCCCUUUCUUAUUUAAGUCUCCAUCUCUUUGUUCUUGCAAAAAGUAAAAUUCUUGUCUUCAGCGCACAAUUAAUUGUUAGAUAUUUGGGCCCUUUAAAUGAAAAUUGGCAUAAUUCUGAUAACAUCUAAUAUCUAAUCCUCUGGGCUUGGUAGACUUCCUCAUGUGUUUAGUAAUGUGUAUGCGUAAGGAUCUUGAUGAAUCGGGACCUCAGCAUUUAAAGCAAAGUUGACAUCCAGUGCUUGAUGCCAUUUUCUAAAGCUAUUAAAUUCUUGCAGAUGAAUAUUUAUCAGAAUCUUGUCAAACUGUAUGAUUAUGAUGUUAAAGAAAUCGGAUAAACAGGAUAUCUGCUGCUUCAUAUAACAAGUUAACUGUCCUUUGAUCAGCUAGAUUUGAUCCAUGAAAUCAAAUGAUUACUUAAAAUCUGUGUUAGCAUAACUGAAUUCU